rnacentral:lncRNA from 1 species
UUCUGAAUUUAAUAUAAAUUUCCAUUAAAAAGUUCGCACUUUUUCACUUAUAACUUAAUUUCUAAACGUACGAUUUUGAUGAUUUUUACAAAAGCACGUUCCACACAAUAUUUCUAAUGUUUUGGAGUUUACUAGGGGUUAAUUGAUGCAUCAGAAAGUUAGUUAUGUCUUGAAACAAACUUACCUGUAUUUUACACAGCUUAAAUAGGCAACUCCUGCUCGAUAUAGAUACUAUACUUACACACACCGUCGUGCAGUUAUUUAUUUUUUUUUUACUUAGCUCGCUGGAUAUCAAUAAUAGUGGUCUUAAGAAAAAUUAACGCUAUAUUUUGUAUUGAGUAAAUCCCAUAUUAUACUUUAUCGUUAUUGUUUGUAUUUGAAUUUAAUGUCUAGUUAGAGCUAAUGUAGAGUCUAACUAAGAUAAUGAUGCAACUAAAAUUCGUUUGUGACUAUUCGUUCGCUAGUCACUAGCUGUGACUUAUGACAUUGCGCGUGACGUCACGGAUUCGUCCGCCGAGGCGGCGGCCAUAUAUAAUACACGGCAAUAUUUAUCCAUUUUUGGUUUAACAUAAAAUAACUGCUUAUGAACUUAUUAUUUUUCGAAUGAACUAAUCAAACGUAUUCAAGAGUACCUCGUAGUCUUUCCAUUCGUAUAAUUAUAUCACAUUUUGGUUUAACAGUGUGUCAGUGUAGACAAAAAUAACACUUAAAUAAAUUAUAUUAUAAAUUUACCAUACCGCUGCUGCAGUAAACGUGUGUAAUAUUGUUUUGACGAUCGUGACAUCGUGUACGGAUUUCUGACGCCUAAACUGUCUGUAUAGUUUUAACUCGUAGCUAAUAUUAGAGAUGGGUGAGGCUUUCUUAUUAUUAUCUAACUAUUAUAUAUAACUAUCUAACUUUUGAUCGUCCAUUAACAUCGAUUUCCAAAAAUGAAUUAUUUACAUUUUGUGGUUGGAUAUCUGUUCACAGAUCAUCCACUGUUGGUUCGAAAUUAUAUAGUUGAAGGGCCAUUAAAAAAUAUAUAACACACAUAUAUUAGAAUAUUAUAUCGUGUAACUAGAAAGGACCGCAAUCACAUUUCACACUGACACUGUACUUACUAGUUGUUAGUACUUAGUAGUAACUAGCUAAACACUAAUACGAAAUAAAAGAUAACAUUAUAAUUAAUUAUUAUCAUAACCAUAAAGAUAUUUUUAACUUUAAUACGGCGAUUAUACCAUAUUGUUAUGAAAAAUAAACAUCGAUAAAAUCUUAUACAAUUAUAAAUAAAAUCAUAGCAGCACUCAUAUGAGUAAUUAGUGACAAUUGACACUGUAAUAUGACAGCAGUGGUGUAUUAUAAUAUAAUUGCUAUUAUUUCAUUAAUAUUAUACCAAAAUUCAAUAUACCUAAUUAUACGAAUAGAAAGAUUACGAGGUACUCUUAAAUACAUUUGGUUAGGUUAUUCGAAAAAAUAUAAGUUUAUUAGCAGUUACUUUACGUUAAACCAAAAACGGAUAAACAUUGCUGUGUACUGUUAUGGCCGCCGCCGCGACGAACGAAUCCGUGACGUCACGCGCAAUCGCUUAACUAGCGAAUGGACAGUCACAAACGAAUUUUAGUGGUAUCAUUUUUUUCGUCAAAGUUUGUACUUUAAUUUAAGCCUGAGAACAUUUUUUGAGUUGGAUGGUCCUUCGAUUAGUGUAAUAUUAUGGUUCAGGUUGUAGACCGUUACCACUUAAAAUGUCAGUAAACAAUAAUCGAGGUUUUGUAUAAUUAAACAAAAUGUUAACUAUCGUGUGGAGUAUACAAAUUACAAAUUUAAACGUAAAAUUAAUAUACAAAGAAUUAAAACCAUUGCAAAAACCAAGUUAAACUUAAUAUGCUAUUUACAAGCUACAACAAUCACAUUCAAACCUCCAUAACUCAAAUCAUUCAGCAAGAUACAGGAACUGGUGUAUGCAAGUGUACUCAAGUCACUUAGGAGAUUAUUCUGUUUUGAAAAACUUCUUCUGAAAAAACUGUUUCCACGUGGUGGUUUAAGAGUAAUGAACAAAAUGGGCAUCUAACUUCAACUUCUAGGUUCACCCUUGAAAAAAUGUCAUUAAGUUACCUAUACCACAUGCAGUUGUAAAUACAGUUACACAUAUAAUCACAAUAAUUACAUAGUUGAUAUUUUCAAAGUUUAGGUUACUAUGAAUGUCAAUGAGAAUAACUUGUUUCAUCAAAAAGUUAGAAAUUGAAUAUAAUAUGCUAUAAACUUAUCAUUUUUUUUCAAUGUCAUGCGCCGCAUAAUCAUGAUCGUGGAUUAAAUGAUCUAUAAAUGGACAAUUUUAUUGAGUUAAAACAAUAAAUAUAAUGAUCAAUGAUUAAUAAUGCAUACUGAUUUGUGUUUUAUAAUUUUUAUACUAUUUGACUAGUGUACAACAGUAAAUCGAUUAAUAACUAAAUUUAGUCAAUACUUAUUUUGUUGUAAGCUUUAAAUAGAUUUGCAGUAUUUUAUCCAAUACUACCUAGUACAUACCAUGUUCUUGAUGUUCAACAUUGUAAUGAUCGUAUUCAACAAUACCUAAACCAACAUGCAUCUAGAUCCUAAAAAUUAAUUACCUAUAUUAUUUUUUAAUUGAACAAUGGUACCAUUAAUCAAUGUGCAUCCAUUUUUGUUGUGGUAGAAACUUGUAAAGACAGCAAUAUACACUUAUGUAAACAGUAGUAUGUAGCUAAAUGCUAUUGAAUUACAAAAAAAUCUCAACAACUGUUAAGACUUAAUGAUAAUUAAUAUG